UACGAAGGGGGCUAGCGUUGUUCGGAUUUACUGGGCGUAAAGCGCACGUAGGCGGAUAUUUAAGUCAGGGGUGAAAUCCCGGGGCUCAACCCCGGAACUGCCUUUGAUACUGGGUAUCUUUGAGUCCGGAAGAGGUGAGUGGAAUUCCGAGUGUAGAGGUGAAAUUCGUAGAUAUUCGCAAGAACACCAGUGGCGAAGGCGGCUUACUGGUCCGGUUCUGACGCUGAGGCGCGAAAGCGUGGGGAGCAACAGG
rnacentral:rRNA from 1 species